UUAUCAAUUUUAUUGGGUAUAUUUAGUAUAUAAACUACACAUAGAAUCAUUAUGGACCCAGUGAAGGUCCUGCUACUGCAGUCUGCAGCGCAUUUAGACUGGUAUUCUGAUUUCUUUUAGCUUAAUAGCGGUUGUGGUGUUAAACAGAUUAAUCCAAAUGAGACUUUGGACUACCAUUUAGUGGUUUGUAAUAGAUAUAUAAUGUCUGAGGGCAAAGUGUCUAUGUAUAGUGAGGAAUAAGGGCUUUAUGAGCAUAAUUUUGAGUUAUUGAUUGUUAAUGUCUUUUGUUUUUUUCUUCAGGAUCAGCUGGGUGAUGUCUUG
rnacentral:misc_RNA from 1 species